rnacentral:rRNA from 1 species
GACGAACGCUGGCGGCGUGCUUAACACAUGCAAGUCGAACGGAAAGGCCCUGCUUUUGUGGGGUGCUCGAGUGGCGAACGGGUGAGUAACACGUGAGUAACCUGCCCUUGACUUUGGGAUAACUUCAGGAAACUGGGGCUAAUACCGGAUAGGAGCUCCUGCUGCAUGGUGGGGGUUGGAAAGUUUCGGCGGUUGGGGAUGGACUCGCGGCUUAUCAGCUUGUUGGUGGGGUAGUGGCUUACCAAGGCUUUGACGGGUAGCCGGCCUGAGAGGGUGACCGGCCACAUUGGGACUGAGAUACGGCCCAGACGCCUACGGGAGGCAGCAGUGGGGAAUAGUGCACAAUGGGCGGAAGCAUGAUGCAGCAACGCCGCGUGCGGGAUGACGGCCUUCGGGUUGUAAACCGCUUUCGCCUGUGACGAAGCGUGAGUGACGGUAAUGGGUAAAGAAGCACCGGCUAACUACGUG